CCCUUAGAUGUUCUGGGCCGCACGCGCGCUACACUGAUGCAUUCAACGAGUCUAAAACCUGGUCUGAGAGGGCUGGGUAAUCUUUUGAAAGUGCAUCGUGAUUGGGAUAGAUGAUUGCAAUUCUUCAUCUUCAACGAGGAAUGCCUAGUAAACGCAAGUCAUCAGCUUGCAUUGAUUACGUCCCUGCCCUUUGUACACACCGCCCGUCGCUCCUACCGAUUGAAUGAUCCGAUGAAUAUCAUGGAUUGAGGAUGCAAGUAGGUUCGCCUAUCUUCAUCUUCGAGAAGUGAAGUAAAUCUUAUCAUUUAGAGGAAGGAGAAGUCGUAACA
rnacentral:rRNA from 1 species